UGGGGAAUUUUGGACAAUGGGCGAAAGCCUGAUCCAGCAAUGCCGCGUGUGUGAAGAAGGCCUUCGGGUUGUAAAGCACUUUUGUCCGGAAAGAAAUCCUUGGCUCUAAUACAGUCGGGGGAUGACGGUACCGGAAGAAUAAGCACCGGCUAACUACGUGCCAGCAGCCGCGGUAAUACGUAGGGUGCAAGCGUUAAUCGGAAUUACUGGGCGUAAAGCGUGCGCAGGCGGUUUGCUAAGACCGAUGUGAAAUCCCCGGGCUCAACCUGGGAACUGCAUUGGUGACUGGCAGGCUAGAGUAUGGCAGAGGGGGGUAGAAUUCCACGUGUAGCAGUGAAAUGCGUAGAGAUGUGGAGAAUACCGAUGGCGAAGGCCAGCCCCCAUGGGCAAUACUGACGCUCAUGCACGAAAGCGUGGGGAGCAAACAGGAUUAGAUACCCUGGUAGUCCACGCCCUAAAACGAUGUCAACUAGUUGUUGGGGAUUCAUUUCCUUAGUAACGUAGCUAACGCGUGAAGUUGACCGCCUGGGGAGUACGGUCGCAAGAUUAAAACUCAAAGGAAUUGACGGGGUCAUAGCUGUUUCCU
rnacentral:rRNA from 1 species